rnacentral:rRNA from 1 species
UGUUUCGGCUAGGGGGUCAUCCCGACUUACCAACCCGAUGCAAACUACGAAUACCGAAGAAUGUUAUCACGGGAGACACACGGCGGGUGCUAACGUCCGUCGUGAAGAGGGAAACAACCCAGACCGCCAGCUAAGGUCCCAAAGUCAUGGUUAAGUGGGAAACGAUGUGGGAAGGCACAGACAGCCAGGAUGUUGGCUUAGAAGCAGCCAUCAUUUAAAGAAAGCGUAAUAGCUCACUGGUCGAGUCGGCCUGCGCGGAAGAUGUAACGGGGCUAAACCAUGCACCGAAGCUGCGGCAGCGACACUAUGUGUUGUUGGGUAGGGGAGCGUUCUGUAAGCCUGCGAAGGUGUGCUGUGAGGCAUGCUGGAGGUAUC